rnacentral:rRNA from 1 species
AUGGCGACCGGCGCACGGGUGAGUAACACGUAUCCAACCUGCCGAUGACUCGGGGAUAGCCUUUCGAAGGAAAGAUUAAUACCCGAUGGCAUAGUUCUUCCGCAUGGUAGAACUAUUAAAGAAUUUCGGUCAUCGAUGGGGAUGCGUUCCAUUAGCUUGUUGGCGGGGUAACGGCCCACCAAGGCAUCGAUGGAUAGGGGUUCUGAGAGGAAGGUCCCCCACAUUGGAACUGAGACACGGUCCAAACUCCUACGGAAGGCAGCAG